CCUCGCGGACGACCGCGAGCCGGUUUUCCGAAUCACGGGACGACCCGG
rnacentral:ncRNA from 1 species